AGAAUCAACGCUGGCGGCGUGCCUAACACAUGCAAGUCGCACGAGAAAGGGGAGCAAUCCCUGAGUAAAGUGGUGCACGGGUGAGUAACACGUGACUAACCUACCUCCGAGUGGGGGAUAACUGAGGGAACCUUAGCUAAUACCGCAUAAUACCCACGGGUCAAAGGAGCAAUUCGCUCGAGGAGGGGUCGCGGCCGAUUAGUUAGUUGGCGGGGUAAUGGCCCACCAAGACGAUGAUCGGUA
rnacentral:rRNA from 1 species